GAAGAAGGAAUCUCUAACAGCUGCUGGAAUUUUGGUCAGUCCAUGACUGGAAUGAGUUAGUGCCUGCAGUGAAACCCUCACAUUUCAGGUCAGGUAACUUGACAAAUGCCUGCUGGAAGUGUUUCUCGUGAUGGAUACUACUGCAAGAAAACACAGGGACAAGUAUGGGUUCUGAAAGAACAUGGCAACAGAAUGAGUUCUCACUUGCUGGAAGAGCUGGACCAGACUGGGAGCAUUUUCUCAGGAAGCUGUCAGGAGGCUAAAACUGGGCUUAAUCAGGGAAGGGGAGCACUGUAAAUUACAUUAUUUGAUGAAGAAAUGGUAACACUGCAAUUUAAAAGAGGAUGGAAACUUUCCUGUAUAUCAAAAGACAAACCUUUUAUUCGAAGAAUUCUUGUAUCUCUAAUGUAUAUCAAGAGAUGAAUGCUGAUCAC